rnacentral:rRNA from 1 species
UACGAAGGGGGCUAGCGUUGUUCGGAAUUACUGGGCGUAAAGCGUGCGCAGGCGGUCUUCCAAGUCAGUGGUGAAAGCCCGGAGCUCAACUCCGGAACUGCCAUUGAAACUGUGAGACUCGAGUACGAGAGAGGUGAGUGGAAUUCCCAGUGUAGAGGUGAAAUUCGUAGAUAUUCGGAAGAACACCAGUGGCGAAGGCGACUUACUGGACACAUAUUGACGCUGAGGUGCGAAAGCGUGGGGAGCAAACAGG